GCGGUGGGCAAGAGCCCACUGCACAGCCCUCCUGAGACCCAGCGGGCACAAACCAGAUGCCUCCUGCUCAUGACCCAUCCAGCCCUGCACCCUGUGUGCUCCUCCCUAAAGGAAACACCUUUCCCCUUACCUUUGAGACGCUCCAGAUCUUACACUGAAUUAACCCCCUCCUGAUAUGACAGCCCCUCCCCUGUUGUAACAAGUCCUCCCGGUGCAAUAGCCCCUCCUCCAUAUUCAUAGCCCCGCCCCUGUUGUAAUAGCCCCUCCUCUAUAUUCAUAGCCUCUCCCUGUAAUAGCCCCACCCAUAGUAAUAGCUCCUCCCCUGUUGUAAUAGCCCCUCCUCUAUAUUCAUAGCCUCUCCCUGUAAUAGCCCCACCCAUAGUAAUAGCUCCUCCCCUGUUGUAAUAGCCCCUCCCCCCAUUGUAGUAGCUCCUCCCAUAGCAAUAGCCCCUCCCCAAUUGUUACAGCCCCUUUCCUGCUCUAACGACUCCUCCCCCUAUGGUUAUGGCUCCUCCUCUGCUAUAACAGCCCCUCUUCUGUUGUCAUGGUCCCCACCUCUGUUGUAACAGCCCCUCUUAUUGCAAUAGCCUCCCCACCCCCGCAGUCAUCUUCAAAUCAAGUGUCUCCUUUCCCAGUCCUGACUUACUCUCCAUCUGACACAGGAGUCAGUCCCAGGCACAGGGCAACAGUGCCUCCUUCUCCAUGGGACGCUGCCUCGAGCCUCCCUGGGCUUCCCUGCGGGGAUUUUCUAGAGUCAAAGAGCUGAGCCCCUACUCUCCUAAAAUCCACAGGGUGUCCCGUGAGCCCCUCACCACCUGAAUAUGGUGGCCUGGGGGGUGUCUUCACUUGGCGGGGGGGAGUCCCCACACUCCACUACGUGCUGGCUGCCCGUGCCCGUCCGCUCAGCCGCCUGGGGUGGUGCAUGACUGCAGGGCUCAACGGAGGCAGAUUGUGCAACGGAGGUGCUCCAGCAGCAUGAGGCAGGUUCCCGGAAAGCUGGGCCGCGUGGGAGUGGACGGCCAAGACCCUGGCCCAGCGCCGGGCCUGGCGGGCGCUCAGCAAAUGCCACUGGAGCCUGAGAGACCCCGAUGGGGACACCGCCAUCCUCAGUGAGCCGUGAGGUGCUGAGGCAAGCACGCGGCUCUCAGCCAAUUUCCAGAAGAACGCGCAUUCCUCCUAGAACAUCCACUUAAAAUUACAUUAAAAAAUUAACAAGCUGGUCUUGGAGCGGAGGAAUGGGUUUCGGCACAGAAGGAGAGAAAAAUCGGAAAAAAACGGGUUCUUCCAGCCCAAUUUCCCUCAUAAUUGGGUGUCUUUUUGAGCUGGCUAAUUAAACAGCAUUUUCCCCGA